GACGAACGCUGGCGGCAUGCCUUACACAUGCAAGUCGAACGGUAACAGGUUAAGCUGACGAGUGGCGAACGGGUGAGUAAUGUAUCGGAACGUGCCCAGUCGUGGGGGAUAACUGCUCGAAAGAGCAGCUAAUACCGCAUACGACCUGAGGGUGAAAGCGGGGGAUCGCAAGACCUCGCGCGAUUGGAGCGGCCGAUAUCAGAUUAGGUAGUUGGUGGGGUAAAGGCCUACCAAGCCUACGAUCUGUAGCUGGGCUGAGAGGACGACCAGCCAAGCUGGGACUGAGACACGGCCCAGACUCCUACGGGAGGCAGCAGUGGGGAAUUUUGGACAAUGGACGCAAGUCUGAUCCAGCCAUGCCGCGUGCGGGAAGAAGGCCUUCGGGUUGUAAACCGCUUUUGUCAGGGAAGAAAAGGUUCUGGUUAAUACCUGGGACUCAUGACGGUACCUGAAGAAUAAGCACCGGCUAACUACGUGCCAGCCGCCGCAGUAAUAC
rnacentral:rRNA from 1 species